rnacentral:lncRNA from 1 species
UAGCAUGAACACAAUCCGUCCGUGGGGACUACGUAAGAAAUGAAUCUUGCAAAACUACCUAGUAGACACUAAGCAAUCUCUAUGCUGAAGUCCAUGAGAUGAACGCUGUAAUCAAUCUUCUGUGGUAGCAAACAGGACAAGUAACCAGCCACCAAAACAUAAGGUGGAAAUGACAAUUCCUCAACCUAUCAUUAUUGACUACUUUCGAGACCACUCUACGCAAAAAGGGCUACCCUAGAGCAUCAAAACACCCUAAUUAAAGCCAAAGCUAAUAACUAAGAAAUAUUAUAGACCCGCAAGCAGCCCUAGUCUAAUUACUAACUAAAACGAUAAAUUAAAAAACUGAAAAUAUAAACCAGGGCCCAACAAGAAAACCCUAGCCCAAUUUCCAGCCUACAAGCUACCCUCAGGCCCAUGAGACAGAGCCGACCCAAGACCAUCCCUCACAGCCCAAAAAGUGACCCACCGAACCACCCAGCCACCCAUCCCUCACGGCGAAACUCUAGGGUGUUUUCUUGUUGUCAAUGUAAUGGAGAGGUUAUCCUUGAAAAUAUGCUAGAGGUGUUAGUGUAUAGUGCUUGGUGGGGUUGUUUCUUCUUGAGGUUAGCUAUAAGAAAGUAUUAAGGCUUCUUGAUGGGGUUAGGAGUAGGUUACAUUUGAAACUUUUUCGAUUCAUGUUUAUUGUAAUCAUUAGCAUGUGAGUGUGGAGGAGUGUGGGGACUUGUUGUCCACCACCCAGAUCUUCUAUGGCUGUAAUGGUUGGUUAUUAUUAUAUAAAGUUAGCAAAAUAUUAGUCACUCCUUAUAGUUUGAGAUUUAUGUUCAUGCUUAAAUUUAAACACUUAAUAUAAUAUGAAAUAUAUAUAUUUUUGAAAUUAUAUUUGUUCAAAAAUAUGAAUUCAAUUGCAUACAUAUAUAUAGUAGUUUCGAACCAAAAAAAUUCUACAUACAUACAAAAAGGAUUUGAUACAGGUUUUUUUUAAUUUUGUAUGUAUUUUAUAUUUAAAAUUCGAUGAAAUAUAUAAAUAUAUUGAUAUAAAAGUAAAAAAAUAAUGACGAAUUAAAAGGUUUAAAAUUGAAUUUUGAUUCACAAAGAUGGAAAGAAAAUUUAUUAAUAUCGUAAUUAUGACCCUUAAAAUCUGAUAAAUUAUUAUAAUGUUAGACUCUAUUAAGAAAUAAAUUUAAUAUAAUUUAUGUAAGGUAAAUAAAUCAACUUGAUAAAAAAAGGUAACUAAAUCAUCUAGAAAGAGAAAUUUUAAACACACCUGUAAUCUCUUAAUACACACCCCUAUUAUUUUAUAUUUUAUAGGUAUGUUUAAUUACAAAAACAUCCAACAAUUAUUAGGGAAAAACAAAAAAAAUUUCUUCCCUAAAACCUAACUCUUCUUCACUAUUACUACGCAUCAAAAGAAAAUAAAUCAAAACCUCUUCUCCAAAAUGAAUUUCGAUUACUGUCGUAAUCACAUGUAUUAUUUACCGAUUCAUUUGGUUUUUUUUUAUCAACUUUAGUUUUUAUCUUGCAGACUAAAAACUAGUUUUUAUGUUAUUGUACUUCUUAACUUUUGAAAAAAUUAUGUAUGUUCAAUUUUUUUUUU